rnacentral:rRNA from 1 species
AUUGAACGCUGGCGGCAUGCCUUACACAUGCAAGUCGAACGGUAACAGGUCUUCGGAUGCUGACGAGUGGCGAACGGGUGAGUGAUACAUCGGAACGUGCCUAGUAGUGGGGGAUAACUACUCGAAAGAGUGGCUAAUACCGCAUGAGAUCUACGGAUGAAAGCAAGGGAUCGCAAGACCUUGUGCUACUAGAGCGGCCGAUGGCAGAUUAGGUAGUUGGUGGGAUAAAAGCUUACCAAGCCGACGAUCUGUAGCUGGUCUGAGAGGACGAUCAGCCAAACUGGGACUGAGACACGGCCCAGACUCCUACGGGAGGCAGCAGUGGGGGAUUUUGGACAAUGGGCGCAAGCCUGAUCCAGCAAUGCCGCGUGCAGGAUGAAGGCCUUCGGGUUGUAAACUGCUUUUGUACGGAACGAAAAGCCCCGGGUUAAUACCCUGGGGUCAUGACGGUACCGUAAGAAUAAGCACCGGCUAACUACGUGCCAGCCGCCGCAGUAA